AGAGUUUGAUCCUGGCUCAGGACGAACGCUGGCGGCGUGCUUAACACAUGCAAGUCGAACGGUAAGGCCCUUCGGGGUACACGAGUGGCGAACGGGUGAGUAACACGUGGGCAAUCUGCCCUGCACAUCGGGAUAAGCCUGGGAAACUGGGUCUAAUACCGAAUAGGACCACAGGACACAUGUCCUGUGGUGGAAAGCUUUUGCGGUGUGGGAUGGGCCCGCGGCCUAUCAGCUUGUUGGUGGGGUGAUGGCCUACCAAGGCGACGACGGGUAGCCGGCCUGAGAGGGUGUCCGGCCACACUGGGACUGAGAUACGGCCCAGACUCCUACGGGAGGCAGCAGUGGGGAAUAUUGCACAAUGGGCGAAAGCCUGAUGCAGCGACGCCGCGUGGGGGAUGACGGCCUUCGGGUUGUAAACCUCUUUCACCAUCGACGAAGGUCCGGGUUUUCUCGGGCUGACGGUAGGUGGAGAAGAAGCACCGGCCAACUACGUGCCAGCAGCCGCGGUAAUACGUAGGGUGCGAGCGUUGUCCGGAAUUACUGGGCGUAAAGAGCUCGUAGGUGGUUUGUCGCGUUGUUCGUGAAAUCUCACGGCUUAACUGUGAGCGUGCGGGCGAUACGGGCAGACUUGAGUACUGCAGGGGAGACUGGAAUUCCUGGUGUAGCGGUGAAAUGCGUAGA
rnacentral:rRNA from 1 species